AUUGAACGCUGGCGGCAGGCCUAACACAUGCAAGUAGAACGAGUGGCGGACGGGUGAGUAAUGUCUGGGAAACUGCCUGAUGGAGGGGGAUAACUACUGGAAACGGUAUCUAAUACCGCAUACCAUCGGAUGUGCCCAGAUGGCAUUAGCUAGGAGGUGGGGUAAAGGCUCACCUAGGCGACGAUCACUAGCUGGUCUGAGAGGAUGACCAGCCACACUGGAACUGAGCCACGGUCCAGACUCCUACGGGAGGCAGCAGUGGGGAAUAUUGCACAAUGGGCGCAAGCCUGAUGCAGCCAUGCCGAGUGUAUUAAGAAGGCCUUCGGGUUGUAAAGUACUUUCAGCGGGGAGGCGUUUUCCGCAGAAGAAGCACCGGCUAACUCCGUGCCAGCCGCCGCGGUAAUAC
rnacentral:rRNA from 1 species